rnacentral:rRNA from 1 species
UGAGUAACCUGCCCUGGACUUUGGGAUAACCCUCGGAAACGGGGGCUAAUACCGGAUAUGACGGCUCACCGCAUGGUGUGGUUGUGGAAAGUUUUUCGGUCUGGGAUGGGCUCGCGGCCUAUCAGCUUGUUGGUGGGGUGAUGGCCUACCAAGGCGACGACGGGUAGCCGGCCUGAGAGGGCGACCGGCCACACUGGACUGAGCACGGCCAGACUCCGUACGGGAGCA